rnacentral:hammerhead_ribozyme from 1 species
AUCCAGGACGUUGACGAGUCCCAAAUAGAACGAAACGCGCGUCCUGUAU